rnacentral:rRNA from 1 species
UGGCGGACGGGUGAGUAACGCGUAAAGAACUUGCCCUCUAGACUGGGAUAACAGAGGGAAACUUCUGAUAAUACUGGAUAAGUUAGUAUAUCGCAUGAUAUGCAAAUGAAAGCUACGGCACUAAAGGAGAGCUUUGCGUCCUAUUAGCUAGUUGGUAAGGUAAGAGCUUACCAAGGCGAUGAUAGGUAGCCGGCCUGAGAGGGUGGACGGCCACAAGGGGACUGAGAUACGGCCCUUACUCCUACGGGAGGCAGCAGCC